rnacentral:rRNA from 1 species
UGGGGAAUAUUGCACAAUGGGCGCAAGCCUGAUGCAGCCAUGCCGCGUGUGUGAAGAAGGCCUUCGGGUUGUAAAGCACUUUCAGCGAGGAGGAAGGUGGUGAACUUAAUACGUUCAUCAAUUGACGUUACUCGCAGAAGAAGCACCGGCUAACUCCGUGCCAGCAGCCGCGGUAAUACGGAGGGUAGCAAGCGUUAAUCGGAAUUACUGGGCGUAAAGCGCACGCAGGCGGUUUGUUAAGUCAGAUGUGAAAUCCCCGGGCUCAACCUGGGAACUGCAUUUGAAACUGGCAAGCUAGAGUCUCGUAGAGGGGGGUAGAAUUCCAGGUGUAGCGGUGAAAUGCGUAGAGAUCUGGAGGAAUACCGGUGGCGAAGGCGGCCCCCCUGGACGAAGACUGACGCUCAGGUGCG